AUUGAACGCUGGCGGCAGGCCUAACACAUGCAAGUCGAACGAGUGGCGGACGGGUGAGUAAUGUAUGGGAAACUGCCUGAUAGAGGGGGAUAACUACUGGAAACGGUAGCUAAUACCGCAUACCAUCGGAUGUGCCCAUAUGGGAUUAGCUAGUAGGUGGGGUAACGGCUCACCUAGGCGACGAUCCCUAGCUGGUCUGAGAGGAUGAUCAGCCACACUGGAACUGAGACACGGCCCAGACUCCUACGGGAGGCAGCAGUGGGGAAUAUUGCACAAUGGGCGCAAGCCUGAUGCAGCCAUGCCGCGUGUAGGAAGAAGGCCUUCGGGUUGUAAAGUACUUUCAGCGGGGAGGCGUUACCCGCAGAAGAAGCACCGGCUAACUCCGUGCCAGCAGCCGCGGUAAUAC
rnacentral:rRNA from 1 species